rnacentral:rRNA from 1 species
GACGAACGCUGGCGGCGCACAUAAGACAUGCAAGUCGAACGGACUUAACUUCAUUCUUUACGAUUGAAGAGCGGUUAGUGGCGGACUGGUGAGUAACACGUAAGCAACCUGCCUAUCAGAGGGGAAUAACAGCGAGAAAUCGUUGCUAAUACCGCAUAAGCUGAUAGUAUCGCAUGAUACAGUCAGAAAAGGAGCAAUCCGCUGAUAGAUGGGCUUGCGUCUGAUUAGCUAGUUGGUGGGGUAACGGCCUACCAAGGCGACGAUCAGUAGCCGAGCUGAGAGGCUCAACGGCCACAUUGGGACUGAGAUACGGCCCAGACUCCUACGGGAGGCAGCAGUCGGGAAUAUUGGGCAAUGGGGGAAACCCUGACCCAGCAACGCCGCGUGGAGGAAGAAGGUUUCGGAUUGUAAACUAUUGUCGAUAGGGAAGAAAAAAGACUAGUACCUAUCAAGAAAGCUCCGGCUAACUACGUGCCAGCAG